GUACAUAGUGCAGUACGAGCAAUAUGAUGCGAGAUUGCGAGCUAAGCUCAGCGUUGUAAACCGUCAUGCUGUCGGCAUAAGCACUGAAAUAGCCUAUAACUAAGUCUAAAUCUUCAGCCUUACUAGUACUUGAGGGAUGACAAGCCAUAUUUUUGGUAUUGGUCUAGGCCUUUUUGUGAUACUAACACUCUGGAUAUCAGCUGGACUGAUUUUUCUUGUGUCACUGAGAAUAGAAAAGAGGAUAGGAGUGGUUGCUCUUGCCAUAGCUGCAUUAGUUACAGUAAUAUUAGUUAGUGUUCCUCGAGCUCCUCAAUAUCUUAUUGUUCAUGAAAAUAAGCCAUAUGACCAUUUCUUUAUUUGGCGCAUGAUUCUUUUGAUUUUACUGGUGGCAUCGUCAAUAAUUGGAUUAAUAGGGUACAUAAAAUUUGGAUUAAUGGAUAUUGCAAAGCCUCAAAGAAUUAAGAAGUGGAUCCUUUAAACUACCUUGCUGAGAUAUUAAGGUUGCUUUUAGUUUAGACAGCUUGUUUAUCUAUCACGUGGUAAUUUCAAGAG